rnacentral:rRNA from 1 species
GGAGGGGCCUGCGUCCCAUCAGCUAGUUGGUAGGGUAAUAGCCUACCAAGGCGAUGACGGGUAGGGGACCUGAGAGGGUGGCCCCCCACAAUGGAACUGAAACACGGUCCAUACACCUACGGGUGGCAGCAGUAGGGAAUAUUGGUAAUCUGGGAAACCGGGAACCAGCAACGCCGCGUGCGCGAUGAAGGCCUUCGGGUUGUAAAGCGCUUUUUAAAGGGAUGAGGAAGGACAGUACCUUUAGAAUAAGCCUCGGCUAACUACGUGCCAGCAGCCGCGGUAAAACGUAGGAGGCGAGCGUUAUCCGGAUUUACUGGGCGUAAAGCGUGUGCAGGCGGUUUGAUAAGUUGGAUGUGAAAGCUCCUGGCUUAACCGGGAGAGGUCGUUCAAAACUAUCAGACUAGAGAGUGGUAGAGGGAGAUGGAAUUCCGCGUGUAGUGGUGAAAUGCGUAGAUAUGCGGAGGAACACCAGUGGCGAAAGCGGUCUCCUGGCCCAUUUCUGACGCUCAGACACGAAAGCUAAGGUAGCAAACGGGAUUAGAGACCCCGGUAGUCUUAGCUGUAAACGAUGUGAACUUAGUGUCGGUGGGGUUAAAUCCAUCGGUACUGAUGCUAACGCGAUAA